GCGGGGUUUUUUAAAAUAUAACUUUUUUUUUAUUAUUUACUAUACAAAGUUGCAUUUAUAUAACCUGUGUAAUACACGAAGUUUUUAAAGAUAUAACUUUUUAUCAUUUGCUAUGUAAAAUUAGAUUUAUUCAACACGUGUAAUACACGGGGUUUUUAAGGAUAUACUUUUUUAUUAUUUGGUAAAUUUUUCAACCCGACUAUACACGGGUUUUUUAAAGAUACGACGUUUUUAGUAUUUAAUAUACAAAAUUAUAUUUAUUUAAUCUCUGUACUACACAUGGUUUUUAAAGAUAUAACUCUUUUUUAGAUCUAUUCAACACGUGUAAUUACGGGGUUUUUAAGGAUGUAAUUUUUAUAUUAUUUGGAAGAUUUAUUCAACCCAAUUAUACACCGGUUUUUUUUAAGAUACGACGUUUUUAGUAUUUAGUAUACAAAUUAAAAUUACAUUUAUUUAAUCUGUGUAAUACACAUGGUUUUUAAAGAUAUAACUUUUCUUUUAUUAUUUGAUAUAUCAAAUUAUAUUUAUUUAACCCGUACAAUAUUCGGGAUUCAUAAAGAUAUAACUUUUUAUUAUUUACUAUAUAAAAUUAUAUUUAUUCAACCCGUGUAAUACACGGGGUUCUAAUCUAGUUAAUCAAUAUAUGUAUAUUUUUGUUUAUCUUCUCGUAUUUUUAUAUGUUAUUGAUAAAAUCAACUUAAAAUGUUAAUACUUCAACCUCCUCCCACAUAUUUUUUUAAUACAUAUAAAAUUAAAAUUAAUCUUUAUAAAAUAAAAUAAUUCGAGCCGGCUCGCGAGCUCACGAGCCAAGCCAGGCCUAGCUCGAGCUUGGCUCGUUUACAAAUCGAGCCGAGCUUUUUUCCGAGCGAGCUAUGAGCAAACCACGAGCUUUUUGAAUACCCUACAACCAACCAGAAGGUUCGGUGAUAUCUCUCAAGCUUAAACUUUUUAUAUAUUUUUCUGCUAACUAUAAGUUUUUCAUAAGAACUCUUUAAAAAAAAAACAAAUAGUUUUUAAAAUAGUCGAUAACUUAUUCAACCCCUACCAUAAGAUUCUUACGAUCUGUAUCAAAGCAAGCUGGAUAAAAUAUUUUUAUAGAAAAAUGUUAAUGCAGAAAUCUUGAGUUAGUACCCCAAAUGACCACUCUACCAUGUUUAUAGAAUAUAACUUUUCGCAAUUAAAAAAUAUAUAUGAAUGCAUGUUUUUAAGCGUACGUAUAGAUUGUGGCAUGGAUGCAUAAUGCAUGAAUAUGGUUUUAUGAAAGUGACUUAAAACAAAAAUCAUUAAAUAACAAAGCUUUUGAAAACAUCCAAAAACCUUUAAGAGAAAUUAAGCAAAUAUGAGCAGGGGCGGAUCUAGUGUAUAACAGGGGGUAAUGCCCGUUACCUCUUGGCACUCCGGUGGUAGUGUAAAAUUAGUAUCCGCCACUGAAUAUGAGUAUUUGCCCCUGCACUUGUACCGGGUGAUUUGAUGAAUAUUGAAGGAGUUGGACCAAAGAAAAAUGAAGAAUAAGAGGAUGCAUACUUUUAAGGACAUCAAAGAGUAUGAGGUAUCUUCCAAGUUCCAACUCUUUUCAUAUUAGUAUAAGUAACUCACAUGCAUGAUACCUGUGAUGAGUUAAGUAACUCCCACACGUAUGAUGACUUAAGUGAUCAUAACUUUGAAUUGAAUAAUUAAAAUCUAUUAUUUUUUAAAGGUGAAAACUAUAAUAUUUUAGGAGAAAUAAACGCCUUGAAAAUCUCAAUGAAAUCUUGUUUGAGGAAGUAAUUGACCAAGUUUCUCAAACUGUAACAACUCUUCUUGUAUUGCGUUUACCCAACUUUCUUCCAUUAACGCGUCUUUGUAAUUUUUCGGUUCAAUUUGAGAGACAAAACAUCUGAAUGAGAACCGAAUUUGCAGAUUAGCAACCUUGGAGUAAAGCUUAAACCUUGAUUGAUAUGGUUUCGCAUAUGUACGCCGCUUUGUAGAUUCCUAAGAAUAUUCUCCGACGGAUGAUAAGAUAGAGACCGAGGUAUAACUUCUCUCCAAACAAUAACCGCUGGUUCUAAAUUAUACAAGUUUGAAAAGAAUAGUGAAAUAUUAAGCUAGAUGUUGAGCAUCAAAAAAUAUCUAAUGACAAGUAUGUUUGAGAUUUUCAAACAACAUAAAUGAACUAACAAUAAUGAUCAAUGAUCACAUAAGCUUUUUUUUGAACGACAAUCACACUUUAUAUAUAUAUAUAAAGAGCUAGCAAGAGGCUGGAAAAACAAAACAGAAGAACAAAUAAACAAAAAACCAAAAAAACCGAACAUAUUAGAUCAUAUCGAACUGAUUAAAUCAAAGUUCUUCCAUUUUGACCAUGCAACAACCUUUGAUCGAUGAAUGUUCAUCUUCAUGUGUAAAAAUUUUAAGAUGUCUACAACACAAAAUUGGAAAUGUUGAAAUUAUUGAAAUAUGUAUGGUUUAAAAUUUUAAAACAAGGAGCAAUUUCAUAUAUACCUUUACAAAUUUACAAAAUAUCAUAUAUACUCAUGCAAUAUUAUAAAUAUCAUACACCCUUAUAAAGCAGUUGAAAUAUCAUAUAUAUAUAUAUUCAAUUCUUAAAAAGACAAUUUAUUAAAUGACAGUUUUACCCUUAUUUUCCUAAAACUUUGAAAUCUCAUAUAUGACCAUUAAUAUCAAAUAUUAUAUUUAGUAAUUUUUAACAUAAUUUAUUUAGCUUAAAUAUUAUAUAAAGAGUAUACUAUUGUUUAUGGCUAAAAAAAUAAAUUUAAGGUAAAAAUGUGUUAUAUAAAAAUAUGAAGUUAAAAGAUGUACAUAUAUGAAAACCUGAAAUUAAAAGAAUAAGGUUAAAAUGGUCAUUUAUUUAAUUAUUUUUAACGAAUUUAGUAUGUAUGAUAUUUCAACUACUUUCUAAGGCUGGUGGGUGUGGUUUAAAGCCCCUAGGGGCUUUAUCACGCCACGUAAGCGUCACGUAGAUUUUGAGACAAAAAUGACGCCGCCUUUAACAAUGAUGGUAUGGGAUAAAGCCCCACUAGCGUCCCCACCUAAUUA
rnacentral:lncRNA from 1 species